rnacentral:rRNA from 1 species
GGGUUGUGAGGUUAAGCGACUAAGCGUACACGGUGGAUGCCCUGGCAGUCAGAGGCGAUGAAGGGCGUGCUAAUCUGCGAUAAGCGCCGGUAAGGUGAUAUGAACCGUUAUAACCGGCGAUACCCGAAUGGGGAAACCCAGUGUGAUUCGUCACACUAUCAUUAACUGAAUCCAUAGGUUAAUGAGGCGAACCGGGGGAACUGAAACAUCUAAGUACCCCGAGGAAAAGAAAUCAACCGAGAUUCCCCCAGUAGCGGCGAGCGAACGGGGAGGAGCCCAGAGCCUGAAUCAGCAUGUGUGUUAGUGGAAGCGUCUGGAAAGGCGCGCGAUACAGGGUGACAGCCCCGUACACAAAAGCGCAUGUGCUGUGAGCUCGAUGAGUAGGGCGGGACACGUGGUAUCCUGUCUGAAUAUGGGGGGACCAUCCUCCAAGGCUAAAUACUCCUGACUGACCGAUAGUGAACCAGUACCGUGAGGGAAAGGCGAAAAGAACCCCGGCGAGGGGAGUGAAAAAGAACCUGAAACCGUGUACGUACAAGCAGUGGGAGCACCCUUUGGGGUGUGACUGCGUACCUUUUGUAUAAUGGGUCAGCGACUUAUAUUCUGUAGCAAGGUUAACCGAAUAGGGGAGCCGGAGGGAAACCGAGUCUUAACCGGGCGUUAAGUUGCAGGGUAUAGACCCGAAACCCGGUGAUCUAGCCAUGGGCAGGUUGAAGGUUGGGUAAC